rnacentral:rRNA from 1 species
UACGAAGGGUGCAAGCGUUGCUCGGAAUUAUUGGGCGUAAAGGGUAGGUAGGUGGUUACGUAUGUCUGAGGUGAAAUCCCUGAGCUUAACUCAGGAAGUGCCUUGGAAACGGCGUAACUAGAGUGCUAGAGAGGUUCGUGGAAUUCCCAGUGUAGCGGUGAAAUGCGUAGAGAUUGGGAGGAACACCAGAGGCGAAGGCGGCGAACUGGAUAGCAACUGACACUGAACUACGAAAGCGUGGGUAGCAAACAGGAUUAGAUACCCUGGUAGUCCACGCUGUAAACGAUGGGUACUAGGCUUCGUGGGAGUUGACCCCUGCGGAGCCGGAGCUAACGCAAUAAGUACCCCGCCUGGGAAGUACGGUCGCAAGACUAAA